ensembl:lncRNA
CUCUGGGCAGCCUGUGCCACUGCCUCACUGCCCUCCAAGUAAGUUGUAUCACACCUUAUCACCACAUCCCAUCCUGCUCCUUGGUUUCAGGUCUCUGCCUUUUUCCUUCGUGAUAGGAGUAAAAAGAAUCACAGGGGAGACAAAGCUGGAUUUCAAAUGAAACAUAUGUUCUGGAUAUGAGAUUCAUUACCAGCCCUGGUCUGUUUGUCACAAAUGAAGAACACCUCCAAAAACAGGUAUGCUAUGAAACAACCUGUCAGAUUCUUCUCUGAGCAGUACUAAUAAUCCAGUACAUAAAACCAAAUAACUUAUCAGAUAACACCUUAUGAUUCUGAGGUUUUCUUUUUGGCCAAAGCUAAAAGCACAGCCAGAUCUGUCAUGAUGUUGUUAGCCAGACUGAUGAUAAACUUCUACUCAUACAUAAGGCAGUUCUUUGCUAACUAUGAUGGCUCCUUCAGUGAUCUAGUCUAUUUCAUAUGUAUAAUUAUAAUAUAUGAUAAUUAUGCAUUUCAUAUAUAUAAUAUAUGAUAAUUAUGCAUCAUAUGUUGAUAAUCAUUUCUUUUAUUGUUUAGGAAAUAGAUGUUUCCUUCCCAGAAAACUCUCAGAAUGUGAUUUGUAAAGAGCGUGUGUUGCUUCAACAAGCUGCUCACAACAUUCCUGUUUCUCUUUCACUUUUCCUUGUUUCUGUGCAGUCCAAAAGGCAACAACUACAUCAGGCUCUUUGUUGAGAACAUCUUGGUUGCAAACAGCAACAAAAAGUCAAUAGCAUUGAGUUGCAAUUUGUAAGCUUUUGGGAAAGGGUUGCCUAAGCUAGAAAUGUGGAACAGAGCCUGUAACAACUUUGUGGAGAAGUUCCUGCUGACAAAGGGAAGGCCAAGACAGUCUACUCAUAGAUACUGGCUGUUGCUGCAGGGUUUUAGAAGAUUUAGAUCACAGGAUAGGUCAACAAGCUGAGCAUUUGCUUGCCUGCUGCCUAGCUCUUCAUCCUCUGCAGGUUCUCACUCCCAAUCCUAUGGUUACUGACAUCUGGGCAUUUAUUUGUAGACCGCAAACAAUGGACUCUUCAGGCUGCUCAGAUCUUCUUGUGAGUGUUGGUGAUAAAGAUGAACUUUAAGCAUGCUGACUUGCUCAGAGAGGCUCGGAAUGAGUCAAGUAAAAGGAAAGUAUUCUUUUUAGAUGCUUUUGAUGGAACUGCAUUUGGUGACCAAAUGAUGUCAAAUAAAGUUUUCUGAUAAUUGACCAGAUUUAUGAAGAUACGUGUAAAACUGAUAACAGCAGAAAUAAAAUUAGGGAGGAGAAUCAAAAUGCCAAUGGAAAAAAAAAAACUCAGAAGGAAUGCCGAUAUAGGAAGUAAAUACAUACAGAAAUUACAGAAAUUAGAGAUGAGAGCUGAGGACUUCAGAAAGAUGAUGCAUAUAAAUAUGGCAUAAAUUAGAGCAUCUUAGUAUUUAAUAAUUUGCUGGCUUUGAUAUGCUAAAAAUAAUUGGCUCAGCGCCUCUUAAAGUACUUGCAGAUCUUUAUUAUUGCCAAACUGUAUAAUCAUUAAGAUGAUGUUGGAUCCUUAGCACACAGCAUCUGGCAAAUUAGUUUGCCAGAUGUUUUUUGGUUUUCAUUUUGGUAAUAACAGUGAAGCAAAUUUCUGAAUUAAGAUUCAGAGCAGAAAUAUACCAUAUUUGCAUAGAAAUCUGUAGAUAACAAAACUGAGAGGUCUGACAGAUAUAGAUCUGCUUUUAGUGCUUAUGAAUGAAUAUCUGUUGUUACUGUUUUUUCAGUGCUUGUUUUACUGUAUGGUAUAUUGUGUUCAAAGUAAUCAGGAAUAUGCUGGGGAAAAUAAACAGGAUGGCU